rnacentral:rRNA from 1 species
UACGUAGGGCGCAAGCGUUGUCCGGAAUUAUUGGGCGUAAAGAGCUCGUAGGUGGUUUGUUACGUCUGCUGUGAAAACCUAGGGCUUAACCCUGGGCCUGCAGUGGAUACGGGCAGACUAGAGGUAGGUAGGGGAGAAUGGAAUUCCCGGUGUAGCGGUGAAAUGCGCAGAUAUAGGGAGGAACACCGGUGGCGAAGGCGGUUCUCUGGGCCUUACCUGACACUGAGGAGCGAAAGCGUGGGGAGCGAACAGG